CUACGGGCGGCUGCAGUGAGGAAUAUUGCACUAUGGGGGAAACCCUGAUGCAGCAACGCCGCGUGGAGGAUGACGCAUUUCGGUGUGUAAACUCCUUUUAUCAGAGAAGAAAAUGACGGUAUCUGAUGAAUAAGCUCCGGCUAACUCCGUGCCAGCAGCCGCGGUAAUACGGAGGGAGCAAGCGUUAUUCGGAAUCACUGGGCGUAAAGGACGCGUAGGCGGGUUAUUAAGUCAGGUGUGAAAUCCAAUGGCUCAACCAUUGAACUGCACUUGAAACUGGUAACCUAGAGUAUGGAAGGGGCAGAUGGAAUUAGUGGUGUAGGGGUAAAAUCCGUAGAUAUCACUAGGAAUACCGAAAGCGAAGGCGAUCUGCUGGGACAUUACUGACGCUGAGGCGUGAAAGCAUGGGGAGCAAACAGGAUUAGAUACCCGCGUAGUC
rnacentral:rRNA from 1 species